rnacentral:rRNA from 1 species
GGGUUGUGAGGUUAAGCGACUAAGCGUACACGGUGGAUGCCCUGGCAGUCAGAGGCGAUGAAGGGCGUGCUAAUCUGCGAUAAGCGCCGGUAAGGUGAUAUGAACCGUUAUAACCGGCGAUACCCGAAUGGGGAAACCCAGUGUGACUCGUCACACUAUCAUUAACUGAAUCCAUAGGUUAAUGAGGCGAACCGGGGGAACUGAAACAUCUAAGUACCCCGAGGAAAAGAAAUCAACCGAGAUUCCCCCAGUAGCGGCGAGCGAACGGGGAGGAGCCCAGAGCCUGAAUCAGCAUGUGUGUUAGUGGAAGCGUCUGGAAAGGCGCGCGAUACAGGGUGACAGCCCCGUACACAAAAGCGCAUGUGCUGUGAGCUCGAUGAGUAGGGCGGGACACGUGGUAUCCUGUCUGAAUAUGGGGGGACCAUCCUCCAAGGCUAAAUACUCCUGACUGACCGAUAGUGAACCAGUACCGUGAGGGAAAGGCGAAAAGAACCCCGGCGAGGGGAGUGAAAAAGAACCUGAAACCGUGUACGUACAAGCAGUGGGAGCACCCUUUUGGGUGUGACUGCGUACCUUUUGUAUAAUGGGUCAGCGACUUAUAUUCUGUAGCAAGGUUAACCGAAUAGGGGAGCCGGAGGGAAACCGAGUCUUAAUUGGGCGUUAAGUUGCAGGGUAUAGACCCGAAACCCGGUGAUCUAGCCAUGGGCAGGUUGAAGGUUGGGUAACACUAACUGGAGGACCGAACCGACUAAUGUUGAAAAAUUAGCGGAUGACCUGUGGCUGGGGGUGAAAGGCCAAUCAAACCGGGAGAUAGCUGGUUCUCCCCGAAAGCUAUUUAGGUAGCGCCUCGUGAAUUCAUCUCCGGGGGUAGAGCACUGUUUCGGCUAGGGGGCCAUCCCGGCUUACCAACCCGAUGCAAACUGCGAAUACCGGAGAAUGUUAUCACGGGAGACACACGGCGGGUGCUAACGUCCGUCGUGAAGAGGGAAACAACCCAGACCGCCAGCUAAGGUCCCAAAGUCAUGGUUAAGUGGGAAACGAUGUGGGAAGGCCCAGACAGCCAGGAUGUUGGCUUAGAAGCAGCCAUCAUUUAAAGAAAGCGUAAUAGCUCACUGGUCGAGUCGGCCUGCGCGGAAGAUGUAACGGGGCUAAACCAUGCACCGAAGCUGCGGCAGCGACGCUUAUGCGUUGUUGGGUAGGGGAGCGUUCUGUAAGCCUGUGAAGGUGGCCUGUGAGGGUUGCUGGAGGUAUCAGAAGUGCGAAUGCUGACAUAAGUAACGAUAAAGCGGGUGAAAAGCCCGCUCGCCGGAAGACCAAGGGUUCCUGUCCAACGUUAAUCGGGGCAGGGUGAGUCGACCCCUAAGGCGAGGCCGAAAGGCGUAGUCGAUGGGAAACGGGUUAAUAUUCCCGUACUUGGUGUUACUGCGAAGGGGGGACGGAGAAGGCUAUGUUGGCCGGGCGACGGUUGUCCCGGUUUAAGCGUGUAGGUGUGUGUUCCAGGUAAAUCCGGUUCACUUUAACACUGAGGCGUGACGACGAGGCACUACGGUGCUGAAGCAACAAAUGCCCUGCUUCCAGGAAAAGCCUCUAAGCAUCAGGUAACAUCAAAUCGUACCCCAAACCGACACAGGUGGUCAGGUAGAGAAUACCAAGGCGCUUGAGAGAACUCGGGUGAAGGAACUAGGCAAAAUGGUGCCGUAACUUCGGGAGAAGGCACGCUGACACGUAGGUGAAGUGAUUUACUCAUGGAGCUGAAGUCAGUCGAAGAUACCAGCUGGCUGCAACUGUUUAUUAAAAACACAGCACUGUGCAAACACGAAAGUGGACGUAUACGGUGUGACGCCUGCCCGGUGCCGGAAGGUUAAUUGAUGGGGUCAGCGCAAGCGAAGCUCCUGAUCGAAGCCCCGGUAAACGGCGGCCGUAACUAUAACGGUCCUAAGGUAGCGAAAUUCCUUGUCGGGUAAGUUCCGACCUGCACGAAUGGCGUAAUGAUGGCCAGGCUGUCUCCACCCGAGACUCAGUGAAAUUGAACUCGCUGUGAAGAUGCAGUGUACCCGCGGCAAGACGGAAAGACCCCGUGAACCUUUACUAUAGCUUGACACUGAACAUUGAGCCUUGAUGUGUAGGAUAGGUGGGAGGCUUUGAAGUGUGGACGCCAGUCUGCAUGGAGCCGACCUUGAAAUACCACCCUUUAAUGUUUGAUGUUCUAACGUGGACCCGUGAUCCGGGUUGCGGACAGUGUCUGGUGGGUAGUUUGACUGGGGCGGUCUCCUCCUAAAGAGUAACGGAGGAGCACGAAGGUUGGCUAAUCCUGGUCGGACAUCAGGAGGUUAGUGCAAUGGCAUAAGCCAGCUUGACUGCGAGCGUGACGGCGCGAGCAGGUGCGAAAGCAGGUCAUAGUGAUCCGGUGGUUCUGAAUGGAAGGGCCAUCGCUCAACGGAUAAAAGGUACUCCGGGGAUAACAGGCUGAUACCGCCCAAGAGUUCAUAUCGACGGCGGUGUUUGGCACCUCGAUGUCGGCUCAUCACAUCCUGGGGCUGAAGUAGGUCCCAAGGGUAUGGCUGUUCGCCAUUUAAAGUGGUACGCGAGCUGGGUUUAGAACGUCGUGAGACAGUUCGGUCCCUAUCUGCCGUGGGCGCUGGAGAACUGAGGGGGGCUGCUCCUAGUACGAGAGGACCGGAGUGGACGCAUCACUGGUGUUCGGGUUGUCAUGCCAAUGGCACUGCCCGGUAGCUAAAUGCGGAAGAGAUAAGUGCUGAAAGCAUCUAAGCACGAAACUUGCCCCGAGAUGAGUUCUCCCUGAGACUUAGAGUCUCCUGAAGGAACGUUGAAGACGACGACGUUGAUAGGCCGGGUGUGUAAGCGCAGCGAUGCGUUGAGCUAACCGGUACUAAUGAACCGUGAGGCUUAACCUUACAACGCCGAAG